AUGUAAAAUGACUCUCGGCAACGGAUAUCUCGGCUCUUGCAUCGAUGAAGAACGUAGCGAAAUGCGAUACUUGGUGUGAAUUGCAGAAUCCCGUGAACCAUCGAGUCUUUGAACGCAAGUUGCGCCCGAAGCCAUUAGGUUGAGGGCACGCCUGCCUGGGUGUCACAC
rnacentral:rRNA from 5 species